AUUUAUUGUUCCUAAAAUUGAAAGACCCCCGGAGUGGGGAGACCCUCACUCAAGUCUCGGGAUGACGCAACCCCCCAAGAACUCACACAAGACU
rnacentral:pre_miRNA from 14 species